UACGUAGGGCGCAAGCGUUUGUCCGGAAUUACUGGGCGUAAAGGGCUCGUAGGCGGCCAACUAAGUCGGAUGUGAAAUCCCCAAGCUUAACCUGGGAACUGCAUUGGUGACUGCAUUGCUGGAGUAUGGCAGAGGGGGGUGGAAUUCCACGUGUAGCAGUGAAAUGCGUAGAGAUGUGGAGGAACACCGAUGGCGAAGGCAGCCCCCCUGGGUCAAGAUUGACGCUCAUGCACGAAAGCGUGGGGAGCAAACAGG
rnacentral:rRNA from 1 species